rnacentral:rRNA from 1 species
GACGAACCGUGCGAACGUUGUUCGGAAUCACUGGGCUUAAAGGGCGCGUAGGCGGGCCUCCAAGUCCGGGGUGAAAUCCUCCCGCCCAACGGGACGAAGAGCCUCGGAGACUGGGGGCCUCGAGGGAGGUAGGGGCAAGGCGGAACUGUGGGUGGAACGGUGAAAUGCAUUGAGAUCCACAGGAACUCCGGUGGCGAAGGCGG